GAUGAAGAACGUAGCGAAAUGCGAUAAGUAAUGUGAAUUGCAGAAUUCAGUGAAUCAUCGAAUCUUUGAACGCACCUUGCGCCCUUUGGCCAUUCCGAAGGGCAUGCCUGUUUGAGUAUCAUGAACACCUCAACUCUUUAUGGUUUUCCAUGAUGAGCUUGGACUCUGGGGGUUUUGCUGGCUCACAGUCGGCUCCUCUAAAAUAAAUCAGCUUACCAGUGUUUGGUGGGUAUCAUGGGUGUGAUAACUAUCUACGCUUGUGGUUUUUCCACCAGGUAACCUUCAGCAGUGGAGGUUCGCUGGAGCUCAUAGAUGUCUCUCCUCAGUGAGGACAACCCUUUGAACGUUUGAUCUCAAUCAGGUAGGACUACCCGCUGAACUUAAGCAUAUCAAUAAGCGGAGGA
rnacentral:misc_RNA from 1 species